ensembl:lincRNA
AAGGACCACCUGGGUCAGAUAGACCGAUACCUGGUGUACGGUGAUGAGUACAAGGCUCUUCGUGAUGCCACGGCCAAAGCUGUCCUCGAGUGCAAGCCCCUGAGUAUUGUUACUGCCAUGAAGGCCUGCAGGGAACCCAAAGCCCAACAGGCAGUCCACUNNNNNNNNNNAAUCUUAUCCAAUACCAGAUUUUAGAAUCCAGAUAAAAAUCUGAUCUCGGAGUCCCACGGUGAGAUUAGUGUGGUUAUAAAUGCUCCCUUCAGAGAGUUGGUGGGACCUGACUGUGGUCACCAUACGUUCUGUUUUAGUGCAGUGACAGCCUAAAAUAUUCUUACCUAUUAUCUACAUAAAAUAUCAGAAUGCCCUCAGAUCUCUCAUAUUUUUGCAAAUGCAUGUAUCUGUCAUGCUGCAUCUCCUGUCUCAAUGUGAUACAAAACCCUCCUCCAGACCUUGGGUCCAGUGUUUUAUUUGGGGAACAUUAAGAAGUUGUGGACCAUGCCACGUUGCUGCUGCCACUCAGACUCCAGCUGUCCCCGCCCGCAGAGAUGUCAGUGGGGAGGCAGGUCGGGCGUCCGUCCUAACCCCCUGCCCAGGGACCAGCAUAGCAGCCCCAGGGGCAACCACUGCACACCUAGAAUGCUGUGCGUCUGGGCAGCCAGGAAGCUGAAUGUGUAACGGAAAAGACUCUUGGGAAAGGAGUCUGGGCUCAGCAGAAGGAGAAGUACUUUGAACGUUGAAAACUGUGUGCCUGGUCCCCACGUCCUAAGACUGCAGGGUGUCAGAGAGCUCAGAAGAAAUGACCCUUCUCAGUCCUCACCUUGUCCUCUCUCUGUUUCCAGACACAGCACAGACAGAACCCAGACUGGCCACGUGCUGGGUGACGCGUGUCGCAGAGGUGUGGCGGUGGCGCCUGACCGAGAGCUGUCCCCGGCGGUCUUCCUUCUCACCCGCCUGCUCACUCACUUGGCCAUGCUUCUGGGGGCUGUCCGAGACCCGCAGGCUCUGAUGAACAUCAUCAAGCCGCGUGUGCGGGAUCCGAGCGGCUUCCUGCGGCAGCACGUCCAGGCGGACCUGCAGCAGCUGACCAGGAUGCUGGGAAGGAGCGCCGACGAGACCACCAACGCCGUCCACCACGUCCUGCGCAGCCUCGUCCAAGAGCAGCACCUGCCCUGCGGCCAGAGGCUUUUAAAUUUUGAUGCAAAACUGUCAACCAAAGAAAUGAGAAACAACUGGGAAAAGCAAGUUGAAGCUAUUAUGUUACCUGAACUGCAGCAUCUAGAUAAAACCCUUCAGACCGUGAACACUCUAAUCAGCAAAGAUGAGCGUAUCAGCUCUAACCCUGUGGCCAAAAUCAUAUACGGUGACCCGAUGACCUUCUUGCCCCACCUGCCCCGGAAAAGUGAGGUCCACUGCUCAAAGAUUUGGAGCUGCAGAAAAAGGAUCACAGUCGAGUACCUGCAGCACAUUGUGGAGCAGAAGAAUAGCAAAGAAACGGUGCCCGUCCUCUGGCAGUUCCUGCAGAAGGAAGCAGAACUGGGACUGGUGAAGUUCUUGCCUGAGAUUUUGGCCUUGCAAAGGAGUCUAGUGAAGCAAUUCCAGAAUGUUCCACAAGUUGAAUACAACUCCAUCAGAAGUUUCAUUAGCAGCCAAAAUUCAGAUGGGUUGAGACAGUUAUUUCAGGAGAGAAUCACCCUCUUUCUGUCGACAUGGAACAAGCUGAGGAGGUCACUGUCACUUACAGGUGAAAUCAAGCUGCCUGCAGACUACUGCAGUGCGGACCUGGACCUGGACACCGAGUUCGAGGUCAUCCUGCCGCGUCGACGCGGCCUCGGCCUCUGUUCGACCGCCUUGGUUAGCUACUUGAUUAACCUACACAAUCAAAUCGUCUACACGGUGGAAAAGUUCUCCAACGAAUGCAACAGCUAUUCUGUGGACGCCUCUGAGGUCACCGACCUGCACGUCAUCAAUUACGAGGCGGAGCGGGACCUGACCCCGCUGAUUCUGUCCAACUGCCAGUAUCAGGUGGAGCAGGGCGGCGAGACCGCGCAGGAGUUCCACCUGGAGAAGAUCCAGCGCCAGGUCACCAGCCGCUGCCUCCAGGGCAAGCCCAGGCUGACCCUGAAGGGAAUACCCACUCUGGUAUACAGACAUGACUGGAACUACGAACAUCUCUUUGUGGACAUCAAGAACAGAAUGGCACAGGUGGUCACACUAAACUUUGUCCUUUGCACAGUGUUGUUUGCCUCAGCAGAGUGCCUUCGUCAUAUUAGGACCGCUCUAGCCUCCCCUCACCCCUCCGUGUUUUCUGGGAGCGGCAGUUUCUGAGGCCUCCCUAAGAGCCAGGUGCUCUUUGCAGAGUAUCAACAGAUUGCCAGCUCGUGGGGUUAGUCCUUAGUGAUGACAUCAUGACCACGUAUGCUGAGCAAAGGGCCCACAGAACUUAGUUAUUCCUGCUCUCGAUGUGACAUAGAGAGGGACACCUCCGUGUGUCUCCAUCAUCCCACAGGGUU